UUGAACGCUGGCGGCAGGCCUAACACAUGCAAGUCGAGCGGAUGAAGGGAGCUUGCUCCUGGAUUCAGCGGCGGACGGGUGAGUAAUGCCUAGGAAUCUGCCUGGUAGUGGGGGAUAACGUCCGGAAACGGGCGCUAAUACCGCAUACGUCCUGAGGGAGAAAGUGGGGGAUCUUCGGACCUCACGCUAUCAGAUGAGCCUAGGUCGGAUUAGCUAGUUGGUGGGGUAAAGGCCUACCAAGGCGACGAUCCGUAACUGGUCUGAGAGGAUGAUCAGUCACACUGGAACUGAGACACGGUCCAGACUCCUACGGGAGGCAGCAGUGGGGAAUAUUGGACAAUGGGCGAAAGCCUGAUCCAGCCAUGCCGCGUGUGUGAAGAAGGUCUUCGGAUUGUAAAGCACUUUAAGUUGGGAGGAAGGGCAGUAAGUUAAUACCUUGCUGUUUUGACGUUACCAACCGAAUAAGCACCGGCUAACUUCGUG
rnacentral:rRNA from 1 species